UGAGAGACAUAAAAGGCUAUGGG
rnacentral:piRNA from 1 species